UAACUCAGACUGUGUUGUUAUCACAAUGUUUGGUAGACUUAUUUUCUGUUCUGGAGUGAAUAUGUAUGUUUUUCAUUAUUAGGACGUGGCCCCUUUAAGAAUCUUAGGUUUCAGAACAGAGUCAUACCAUGUGAGCACUGAUGAGGAAGUAAGCAAGCAUGUUGCACAGAGCAGCACAGUCAGACAAUCCUGAGUUAAUUCUGUGACGUUUGCAUUCAUCUUGUGUUUGUUUUAGCAUCGUGGGUAUGUAUUGACUGUUUUAAUCAAUGUCUACUAUUUCAGAUGCUUUAGGUCAUUUUUAUAUAGUUAUUAUUAGAAGUCUAUUAUUUUCUGUCUGCUUCACUAUGGUUAAGGGACAUAGUGAGUGUAAUCUCUGUCUAGUUCAUUGAAAGUUCAUGCAAUUCAGUAUAGUUAAAAAGUGAUUUAAGAAUUGUGUGUGUGUUUAACAUGAUUAUAUUACAUUUAAGAGAAUGUGUGUUUAAGAGAAAACACAUAAAGCCUUGAAGACAUUCAUUUAUGUACUUCUUUGCGAAUGUAUACAUCUUAACAACAACAUGCUUAGUGUUGAUUAUGCCUUUUGUGCAUUUCAGUUUUACCUUUCUUUGGAAUAUCAAUAAACCUGUGGACAAGGAGUUAUCGUCUUCAGAGUUUUGAUGUCAAGGAAGAGUUUAUCUGGCUGUAAAGUUAUAUUCAGCACAUAUAGCGAGGACAGCACAGUAAAACCACGGCCUUACAACUGCAAGUGGCAAACAAAGGCAAAUAAUCGUCACACCCAGCUAGUAAUCAAUUAACAGAUGUGUUGCUGGAGCCAUGACAACAGAAACAUCGUCAUUAAAGACGCGCUCAUGCGCUUCAUGUUCUUCAGCACGAUCCAAUACAUCGUCAACUGGAUCAGCAGCUGCUAAGGCAAGAGCAAGAGCAGAGGCAGCAAAAGCUCGACUUACUUUCGCUGAAGAAGAGGUUAAUUUAAAGCUACAAAAAGCCAAAGUUGAGGCAUCUAUGGAAAUGCUGCAGCAGAAAAAAGAGGUAGCUGCAGCUGUUGCAGAAGCAGAGGCUCUUGAAGCUGCCAUUGAUGAGCAUUCUGAAAAACACAGUUGCAAGCUAAGUUUGAACUCUGUUCCCUUGGAAACCACACAGCGAACAGAACAAUAUGUUAUCGACCAAACCAAAAAUCUAGACAAGGAUCUACAACUGUGUGAUGUUCCUGCAAAAAUAGAACCAAGUACAAGCUACAGUAUUUCAGGUUCACAGCUAAAACCUGAAGCCAAGCCUUUCCUUUUACGACACAACAGUGUCUCUUUUCAACUACCUGAUACCACCUUAAAACACUCUGCAACAUUACCUGCAAACAAAUAUCCGACUCCUUCGCAGCAAUUCGGAUCACAAAAUAGCAUCAAUACGUCUAAUCCUCUGAACUCUGAAUACCCCAUGUUUCAAAAUUCAAAUGAUUGCAGUUCAAACAUGAACGACUUUGUAAGAUAUCUGGCUCGUCGAGAGCUUGUUUCAACAGGCUUACUACAGUUUAACGACAAACCCCAGAAUUACAGAGCCUGGAAACGAUCUUUUCAAAAUGCAACUUUUGAUUUAAAUCUGACUCCAAGUGAAGAAAUGGAUCUCCUGUUGAAGUGGUUAGGCAAAGAGUCAGCCGAGCAAGUGGAACAGAUAAGAGCAAUACAUAUUAAUCACCCACAAGCUGGGCUGGCGAUGGCAUGGGACAGACUUGAUCAAACAUAUGGCUCAGCAGAAAUAAUAGAACAUGCUCUAUUCAAACGAAUCGAUGCCUUUCCUAAAAUAGCCAAUCGAGAUUAUUCAAAAUUGUCAAAAUUGAGUGAUCUGCUAAUGGAGUUGCAGUCUGCUAAGGCGGAAGGAGACUUACCUGGUCUUGUUCUCUUAGACACUGCAAGAGGCAUCUAUCCAAUAAUACAGAAGUUACCAUUUCGUCUGCAAGAAAAGUGGGCAUCAGUUGGUGCAGCCUAUAAGCGACACAAUCAAGUUCCAUAUCCUCCAUUUGCUUACUUUGUAGACUUUGUUAGCCAGGAGGCAGAUAUUGGAAAUGAUCCGAGCUUCAGCUUUGUCUCUUACAUAGACACAGCUCCUAAAGUAGAGAAGGCAGCUUGGAAGAGCAGCAAACAACACGAAAUCUUUGUACACAAGACAGCAGUAUCUUACGGAGACUGUGCUGAUACUGGCGGGCUUUAUAAGCAAUCUGAUGACUGUGACAAACUGUGUCUCAUCCACAAAAGACCACACCCUCUUAACAAAUGUCGUGUCUUUUUAGAGAAGUCUACUGAUGCUCGGAAGGCAUUUUUGAGGGAGCAUAAUGUAUGCUUUAAAUGCUGCUCUUCAACAACGCAUAUCGCAAAGAACUGUAAAACUAAAGUUCAAUGCUCUGAAUGCAAAAGUGAAGGACACAACACGGUACUCCACCCUGGACAUGCAUCCUGGAAAGAGUCAAACCCUGCCACAAAGCAUGGCGGGGAGGGAGAGCAACCCUUAUCUCAAUCUCAAGUCGACAGCAAAUGCACAGAAGUCUGUGGGGAAAAUCAAACAGACCGAUCGUGUUCAAAAGUAUGCCUUGUAAAGGUAUUUCCAGCUGGCCAAAAAGACAAAGCAGUAAAAGUAUAUGCAAUCUUGGAUGAACAGAGUAACAGGUCUCUGGUUCGUUCACAGUUUUUUGAAGUUUUCAGUGACCAAAGUCCUUGUGCUCCUUACAUAUUGAGAACAUGCGCAGGAGUGAAGGAGUCAGCAGGAAGACGGGCCAGUGGCUAUGAAGUAGAGUCUCUAGAUGGAACUGUUUGCAUUUCACUGCCAAGCUUGAUAGAAUGCAAUGAUAUUCCUAAUAAUAGAGAUGAGAUCCCAACCCCUGAUGUUGCUCGCAGUCACACACACCUAAAGUCUAUGGCGCACUUCAUUCCAGAACUAGACCCAAAAGCCCCAAUCAUGCUUCUCUUAGGUCGAGAUGUUAUACGGGUCCAUAAAGUCCGUAAACAAGUGAAUGGCCCACACAAUUUGCCUUAUGCACAGAAGUUGGAUCUGGGAUGGGUUAUAGUAGGUAAUGUAUGUUUAGGGAAUGUCCACAAACCUCUGACAAUCAGCACAUUCCAUACAAACACUAUAGAACCAGAACGUCCAACUCUCUUUAAACCAUGUCCAAAUGUUUUCCAUGUUAAGGAAACAUGCAAAGACUUUCAAAUUGCUAACCACUGCCCAACAUACCCGGAAGCUAAAUUCACCUGUGAUGUUGACUGUCUAGGAGACAAUGUGUUUCAGAGAACCAAAGAGGACAAUCAAGUGGCUCCUUCAAUUCAGGAUGCAACUUUCAUGAAAAUCAUGGAUGAAGGUUUACGGAAGGAUUCAAAUAACAGUUGGGUAGCUCCAUUACCUUUUAAGAGUCCUCGUCCUCGUCUUCCCAACAACAGAAUACAAGCCCUAAAACGACUUAUAUCACUCAAGCACAACUUUGAAAGGAAGCCGAUGAUGAAAGAACACUUUCUCAAGUUCAUGGAAAAGAUAUUCAAAAAUGGACAUGCCGAGUUAGCGCCUCCUCUAGAUGAGAAAGAAGAACAAUGGUACCUGCCAACAUUUGGAGUGUACCAUCCAAAGAAAGUGAAUCAGAUCAGAGUAGUUUUUGAUUCGAGUGCACAACACAAUGCAAUAUCUCUGAAUGAUGUGCUGUUGACCGGGCCUGACUUAAACAACACCCUGGUAGGGGUAAUGAUGCGCUUCAGAAAAGAAGCAAUUGCCUUUACUGCAGACAUAGAACAGAUGUUCUAUUGUUUUUUGGUAAGAGAGGAAGAUAGAGAUUUUCUUCGUUUUCUUUGGUUUCAAGACAAUGACACUUCCAAAGACAUUGUAGAUUACCGCAUGAGAGUGCAUGUCUUUGGAAACAAACCCUCACCUGCAGUGGCUAUACAUUGUCUGCAUAAGUCUGUUCAGAUUGACAAUUUCCAUGUCGACUCUGAGGUCAAGCAAUUUGUGAUGCGUGACUUCUACGUGGAUGAUGGUCUCAAGUCUUUGCCUACAGUAGAAGCUACGAUCAGUUUGUUAAAAAAGACACAAGAGGUUUUGUCUAAAUCCAAUCUGAGACUACAUAAGAUAGCAGCAAACAGCAAAAAAGUCAUGGAAGCCUUUCCAUCGACAGACCAUGCAUGUGAUCUGAAAGAUCUAGACUUUGAGGAAGACACGCUGCCAAUGCAGCGUAGUCUUGGUCUAAAUUGGGACCUCCAUUCUGAUUGCUUCCGAUUUAGUGUCAGUGAUGAGGUAAAACCCUACACCCGUCGAGGUGUCUUAUCCACUAUUAACAGACUCUAUGAUCCCCUUGGGUUUGUAGCGCCGGUCACAAUUCAAGGCAAAGCUAUUCUGAGAGAACUUACUGCUGUGAGCGGUGACUGGGAUGCUCCAUUGCCACAAAAGAUGGAGGACGCUUGGACCUUGUGGAGAGUUUCCUUGUCAGAGCUGGCUAAUUUUUCUAUUCCCAGGGUUUAUACUGAGAUUUCGACAUCGACAGCUAUGAGAAGAGAACUAUGUGUUUUUGCGGAUGCAUCAAUAAAAGCCAUUGCUGCAGUGUCAUAUCUAAAAGUCACAGAUGAUGAAGGAAAGAAUCACAUUGGGUUUGUAAUGGGGAAAGCCAAACUUGCCCCCCGCCCUGAGCACACAGUGCCAAGACUUGAACUUUGUGCGGCAGUGCUUGCUGUUGAGUUGGCAGACUUAAUUUCAGUAAACCUGGACUUGCAAUUUGACGCUGUAACCUACUACACGGACAGUAAGGUAGUUCUUGGGUACAUUUGUAAUGAGACCAGGCGCUUUUAUGUUUAUGUGAGUAACCGCGUUCAGCGUAUCCGAAGGUCUUCUAGUCCAGAUCAGUGGCGAUAUGUUCCUACUGAACAAAACCCAGCAGACCACGCAACACGUUUUGUUUCUGCAGCCCACUUACAAAAAACCAACUGGUUAAGUGGACCCAACUUUCUGCUCACGCAAGGAACAGAUAUUCAGAACACUUUCAAUCUGGUUAAUCCAAGUUCAGAUCCUGAUGUGCGCCCUCUAGUGUCCACACUAACCACCACAGCAUUAACCAAGCAGCUUGGUUCUGAACGGUUUGCCAAAUUCUCCUCUUGGAAUUCACUAACUGGUGCCAUUACUCGCCUUAUCCACAUAGCUCAUCAUUUUAAAACAACAGAGAAGGAAAACAGUUCUUGCAAAGGCUGGCACUACUGCAAAGAAUUCACAAUGGAAGAAUCUGAUAGAGCUAUAAACAUCAUCCUCCGAGCAGUACAAGAAGAGGCUUACAGUCAUGAGAUUGAAUGCAUUAAACGGCAAGAGAGGAUACCAAAGAGCAGUCCACUCCAUACUUUGGAUCCAUUCAUUGAUCAGCAAGGUCUUCUGAGGGUCGGAGGACGUCUCCACCUUUCAAGUCUUAAUCAGAGAGAGAAGACUCCUUUGUUAAUUCCCGGCAAGAGUCACAUUGCCACUUUGAUCAUUAGACAUCACCAUGAGCGUGUUCAGCAUCAAGGUCGUCACUUUACGGAAGGAGCGGUCCGUGCUGCUGGUUUUUGGAUAAUUGGUGGAAAACGAAGGGUGAGCAGCAUCAUACACCAAUGCGUAACUUGCAGACGGCUCAGAGCUCCACUCAGCAUCCAAAAAAUGGCUAACCUUCCAGCAGAACGGCUCUCAGAAGACCCUCCUUUUACCAACGUUGGACUGGAUGUGUUUGGCCCUUGGAAUGUCUCCUCCCGUCGGACAAGAGGUGGUCUCCUAUACAGCAAGAGGUGGGCCGUAAUUUUUACAUGCAUGAGCAUAAGAGCUGUUCAUAUAGAAGUUAUUGAAUCUCUCGACACAUCCAGUUUCAUCAAUGCUCUUAGACGUUUUCUUGCUGUGCGUGGACCUGUCAAACAUAUUCGCUCCGAUCGUGGGACAAACUUUGUAGGUGCAUGUAAAGAGCUACAGAUACCUUCAAACAUUGACAGCAAAGUUGUAAAGACGUAUCUGUCAGAUCAAGGUUGUACAUGGACCUUUAAUCCUCCGCAUGCUUCCCACUGUGGUGGAUCAUGGGAAAGAAUGAUUGGUCUGGCAAGGAGAAUUCUUGAUUCCAUGUUUCUCCAGUUGAAAGACAAACUUACCCAUGAGGUGCUGGUGACCUUCAUGGCAGAGGUAACAGCUAUUAUCAAUGCCAGGCCUCUUGUUCCUGUGACAACAGACCCCCAUGAGUCAUUCAUACUCACACCAGCAGCUCUCCUAACACAAAAGGUGAACCCUGUUGCUGCACCUACAGGCGAGUUUGGAGUUACCGACUUGUACAAGUGCCAGUGGCGGCAAGUUCAACACCUUUCCAACACAUUCUGGGACAGAUGGCGUAAGCAAUUCCUUCCAACCCUACAACCACGCAGGAAAUGGCAGUCCGUUCAUCCAAAUGUCAAUACAGGAAGUGUUGUCCUCCUUAAGAACAGCCAAGUACCACGGAAUGAAUGGCCUCUUGGACUGGUAACACAAUCAUUCCCUAGCAAAGAUGGGAAAGUGCGUCAGGUUGAGGUUAAGGUCAUUAAACCAGGAGGUUCCACUCUUUUUCUUAGGCCUGUUACAGAGGUAGUGCUUCUUCUUUCCUCAGAGUCUAAAGUAGAUGAAUAACUUAGAAUUAUCUAGUGAUGUUUAUUAACAUCAGGCGGGGAGUGUGUUGUUAUCACAAUGUUUGGUAGACUUAUUUUCUGUUCUGGAGUGAAUAUGUAUGUUUUUCAUUAUUAGGACGUGGCCCCUUUAAGAAUCUUAGGUUUCAGAACAGAGUCAUACCAUGUGAGCACUGAUGAGGAAGUAAGCAAGCAUGUUGCACAGAGCAGCACAGUCAGACAAUCCUGAGUUAAUUCUGUGACGUUUGCAUUCAUCUUGUGUUUGUUUUAGCAUCGUGGUUUUACCUUUCUUUGGAAUAUCAAUAAACCUGUGGACAAGGAGUUAUCGUCUUCAGAGUUUUGAUGUCAAGGAAGAGUUUAUCUGGCUGUAAAGUUAUAUUCAGCACAUAUAGCGAGGACAGCACACAGACUUUACAAAUCAGU